CGGUGUCAUUUUGGUCUCUUGUGUAGAGCUGUCUCAUUGGCAAUCAUACCACAUCUUCUUUUUUGUAAUUAAUAAAUUUUGGUAAAAGAUUUAAUGACUGGAGAAUUUCAGAAAAGGUAUAAAAAGUCAUAGGUACUUUGGGACAGGAUAAUUGUUUUUCUAGCCCGGCUCCUCCUUUUUCCCCAAAAAUUCCUAUUUUUUUGUUUGUUCUCUAUUAAUUUU
rnacentral:lncRNA from 1 species